CCGAACGCGACCUCAGAUCAGACGAGACGACCCGCUGAAUUUA
rnacentral:rRNA from 3 species